GACGAACGCUGGCGGCGUGCCUAAUACAUGCAAGUUGAGCGAUGAAGAUUGGUGCUUGCACCAAUUUGAAGAGCAGCGAACGGGUGAGUAACGCGUGGGGAAUCUGCCUUUGAGCGGGGGACAACAUUUGGAAACGAAUGCUAAUACCGCAUAACAACUUUAAACAUAAGUUUUAAGUUUGAAAGAUGCAAUUGCAUCACUCAAAGAUGAUCCCGCGUUGUAUUAGCUAGUUGGUGAGGUAAAGGCUCACCAAGGCGAUGAUACAUAGCCGACCUGAGAGGGUGAUCGGCCACAUUGGGACUGAGACACGGCCCAAACUCCUACGGGAGGCAGCAGUAGGGAAUCUUCGGCAAUGGACGAGAGUCUGACCGAGCAACGCCGCGUGAGUGAAGAAGGUUUUCGGAUCGUAAAACUCUGUUGGUAGAGAAGAACGUUGGUGAGAGUGGAAAGCUCAUCAAGUGACGGUAACUACCCAGAAAGGGACGGCUAACUACGUG
rnacentral:rRNA from 1 species